rnacentral:rRNA from 1 species
UGCGAACUCCUACGGGAGGCAGCAGUGGGGAAUAUUGCGCAAUGGGGGGAACCCUGACGCAGCCAUGCCGCGUGAAUGAAGAAGGCCUUCGGGUUGUAAAGUUCUUUCGGUAUUGAGGAAGGUUGAUGUGUUAAUAGUACAUCAAAUUGACGUUAAAUACAGAAGAAGCACCGGCUAACUCCGUGCCAGCAGCCGCGGUAAUACGGAGGGUGCGAGCGUUAAUCGGAAUAACUGGGCGUAAAGGGCACGCAGGCGGUUAUUUAAGUGAGGUGUGAAAGCCCCGGGCUUAACCUGGGAAUUGCAUUUCAGACUGGGUAACUAGAGUACUUUAGGGAGGGGUAGAAUUCCACGUGUAGCGGUGAAAUGCGUAGAGAUGUGGAGGAAUACCGAAGGCGAAGGCAGCCCCUUGGGAAUGUACUGACGCUCAUGUGCGAAAGCGUGGGGAGCAAACAGGAUUAGAUACCCUUGUAGUCCAGAAGUG